rnacentral:lncRNA from 1 species
AGGUUGAGUCAUCUAAGCGAUGAGAGCACAGUGACCUGGAGCCCAGGUGGAAUUCCAUGCCUCAGCUCAUUCCGAGCCCAGGAGCCUGGGAAGCUUUCCGACAGAGCAGCAGGGCCAUCAAGUCAGCAUAGACGGGGCACCAUGUGACUGACCUUUCUGCUCACAACGCUCCCCGCUGUAGGGCUAAACGUAAUUGAGCAGGAAAGGCAGGGGUGGGGUUAGCAGGCAGGACACAGAGAAUUGCCCGUUACCCACAAGAGUAAGCAGCCCUCCUUGAUGGCCUCAGCCUCAGGUUUGCAGUACAAACAUGUCGAUUGUCUCUGGUCUAGAAUGUGGACUCCAGAAGGCAGAAAAAAUGUAGAGACACUUCUCUGAGAUGGGAUCUGCCCCCAGCAACCAGCAACAUUUAUUCAAGCUGCACCUGGGGCCUCAUGCUGAUGGGGUCAGAUGGUCCAAAUGGGCUGCCUGGGUUCACUUGGCUCUGGGCCUUGUGAAAUCCUUGUGUGCUGUAACCCACCCCUUUAUUUU